GCGACUGAAAAAUGUAAACAACUUUAUUUUAUUUAGUCUAUUGUUUCGUGGAAGUGAGAGGACACCAUAUUUUCCUCCAGGGGUCAGGGGGUUGAAAUGAAACCGCAAAGAAAAUACUUUCGUCUUCUGCACUCAACCUGAAGAUAUAAUGCAAGUAUUCACGAAAACUUUGUGAAUCAAACGUCAUGAAGAAUUCCUGAUGAGUUCAAAUUGAAGAUCUGCUGUAGAUAAUUGACUGCAUACGUAUAAUUUACCUUGGAAUGAUUUGAGAAUUUUAAGUUGUGUUGUUGAUUAUUCAAAACCCCAUAUGGAGCCCUAAAUACCUGCCAAUUUACUACAGCAUUAGACUUUACUUGAAUAUUACAAUAUAAUUUAAUCAUGAGAAUUAUCAAUACUUAAUAUAAUUUUGAAUUUCUUUUUUGGUUUCCAUAUUGGCAAUAUUGCCAACUUUACAAAAUUGUCAUGCUCUUUCUCAUCACACAGUAGCGUUUAAAAGAUACUUUAAAGAUUUUACAAUACUUUAUAAUCUUUCUAUAUUUAAAGCACUGACUUCUCAUGGACAGUUAAACAUUGUGAUGCAAUCUUUCCUCCGCAUGUACUUAGAUUACAUCCUGUAAGCAAUAAUGAAAUGUGUAUAUAUAUAAAGUGCUUCAGUAUGGUAAAAAAGUGAUUUGGUGAUAUAAGUUCACUCUCAACAUGGUUCAGAAGUCACGUAAAGCUGUUGGUCCGUUACUGAAUAACCACUGGUUCCAUGCAACGUACAAAAAAACACCAUACAAAUAAAAGUGAUAAAGCAUU